AUGGAGCAAUUGGAGAAGAGGAUGGAUGCUGCUGAACAACAAAUCAAAGAGCUGCGUGAAGAUCUUAAUAGGAGAUUUGACCAGCUGGUUGAGAUGAUAAGAAAGGGUGUCCCCCCUGCUACCAAUGAAGGAGAUUCAUCUAAAGAAGAGGAAGAUGUUCAUCAAGGAAGAAGGAGAGGUAAUCUUGGAGCAAGACCGCCACGACAACAUGUUGUUCAACGUGCUUCAAGAAGGCCAAUUUAUGUUGAUGCUUCUGAAGGUGAAGAAUAUGAUGAUGCCCUUGAAGAAGCAGAUCUCUACGCAUAUCAGAGAGUACCCAACCCUACAUAUGCAAGAGAUACAUACAAGGUGAAAGCUGAGAUCCCAAGUUUUAAUGGAAAUGUUGACAUUGAAGGGUGCCUGGAUUGGUUAUAUGAAGUGGAGACUUUCUUUGAGGUCAUGGAGGUUCCGGGAGAUCGUAGAGUUCCUUUGGUCGCAUACAAACUGAAAGGAGGAGCCGGUGCAUGGUGGCAUCGCGUUCAAGAGGAGCGCAGGCUGAGAGGAGAACCUCGUGUUAGAACUUGGCGACAAAUGAAAGGCCUCUUGAAAGGGAGAUUUUUGCCCGCUGAUUAUGACCAGAUCCUAUUUAUCCAAUUUCAAAAUUGUGCUCAAGGAAAUAGGACUGUUUCAGAUUACACGGAGGAGUUUCUAAGGCUACAAGUGAGGUGCAACCUUGCUGAAACUAAAGAGCAACAAGUUGCAAGGUACAUCAAUGGUCUCAAUGAUGCUAUUCAAGAUCGAUUGAUGAUGCAACAAAUCUGGUCCGUUGAUCAAGCACAAGCUCUAGCCUUAAAGGCCGAGAGGUUUGUGAGGAUGAGAAAGACAACUAAGGCUCCAUAUCCUCCAUAUCCUCAUACCGAAGGCUCAUCUAGGAGCCAACCUAAUAGAGUGGAAGAAAAGACCACUCCACCAAAGACGAAACAGCCCAUCCCGAAGCAAACUAGAGGCAAGGGUAAGGCAAAUGAAGGCCCAAAGUGCUAUAAAUGUGGUAAAGAGGGACACAUAUCCAGCGGCUGCCCACUAAGGAAAUUUGUUAACACGACUAUCCAUGAUGGUGAAAGUGAUGAGGAAGAAUACGAAUCUGAAGAUGUAGACGGACAAGAGGUUUGUCAAGAAGAAGGUGAAGAGGUGGUAUGUGUGAUCCAGCGUGUCCUAUGUUCCACACCACAACUCGAUGACACACAACGGAAGCAAAUAUUUGAGAGCAAAUGCACGGUGAAUGGCAAGGUAUGCAAACUAGUGAUUGAUAGUUGCAGUUGCGAGAAUCUUAUCUCCCAGAAGUUGGUGGACCAUUUAAAGCUUGAAACCCAUGAUCAUCCAAAUCCCUACACUAUUGGAUGGAUCAAGAAAGGAGUGAAUAUGAGGAUCACCAAACAAUGCAACCUGCCACUUUCUUUGGGUAAGCAUUAUCGCUCAAAUGUGUUGUGUGAUGUGGUUGACAUGGAUGCCAGCCAUGUUCUUCUUGGGAGGCCUUGGCAAUUUGAUGUGGAUACUACACACAAGGGCAAGGAAAAUUCUUACUCUUUCAUUUGGAACAAGAGAAGGAUCAUUAUCUUACAAAACAAACCCGAAGGUAAUACCUCUAAGGAGGAGGGGAAAACUAUGUUAACUAUCUCCCAUACCUCUCAUGAGUUUAUGGAAGACUUGAAGGAGGCAGAUUGGUGUGCUGCACUUGUUGUAAAGGGAGAAGAGCACCUGACUGUUGAAAUUCCAGCAAAGGUACGUGGUUUAUUGGCAGAAUUUCAGAACAUACUUGGGGAGCCACAUGGCUUGCCACCGAUGAGAGGAAUUCAACAUAGAAUUGACUUAAUUCCGGGAGCAAGUCUUCCUAAUCUUUCACACUAUCGAAUGAGCCCAAAGGAGCAUGGUAUAUUGAAGGAGAAAGUGGAGGAAUUGUUGCAAAAUGGCCACAUUCGAGAAAGUAUUAGCCCAUGUGCUGUACCAGCCCUACUCGCGCCAAAGAAAGAUGGAUCUUGGCGCAUGUGUACGGACAGUAGAGCCGUUAACAAGAUCACCGUAAGGUAUAGAUUCCCUAUUCCCCGUCUAGAUGAUAUGUUGGAUCAGCUUAGUGGAGCAAGAGUGUUCACAAAGCUAAAUUUAAGAAGUGGAUAUCAUCAAAUCCGUAUAAGACCCGGGGAUGAAUGGAAGACCGCCUUCAAGACAAAGGAAGGGUUGUUUGAAUGGCUAGUCAUGCCAUUUGGACUCUCAAAUGCACCAAGUACCUUUAUGCACUUAAUGAAUCAAGUCCUUAGACCCUUCUUAUCCCACUUUGUUGUGGUCUAUUUCGAUGACAUCUUGAUCUAUAGCAAGGAUGAGGAUGAACACUUUGAUCACAUUCGGAAGGUGCUAGAAGUACUAAGGGAAAAUGAGCUCUACGUCAACUUGAAGAAAUGUGUUUUACUGCAAACACAACUUCUUUUCCUAGGAUUCGUCAUAACAUGUGACGGCAUUCGUGUUGAUGAUUCUAAGGUUGAAGCAAUCCGAGAAUGGCCAACUCCUAAGACCAUUUCUGAGGUAAGAAGCUUUCAUGGCCUUGCAACUUUCUAUAGGCGAUUUGUUAAGAAUUUCAGCACUAUCAUGGCACCAAUUACCGAGUGUUUGAAGAAAGGAAAGUUCCAAUGGGCAGAAGCAGCUGAAGCUAGCUUCAAUGAGAUUAAACAAAAGCUAUCACAAGCUCCUGCCUUGGUACUACCUGAUUUCAACAAGACUUUUGAGUUGGAGUGUGAUGCAAGUGGAGUAGGCAUUGGAGCUGUCCUAUCUCAAGAAAGGAAGCCCAUUGCUUUCUUUAGUGAGAAGUUAAGUGAAGCUAGACAGAAAUGGAGUACUUAUCAGCAAGAAUUAUACGCCGUUUUCAGAGCGUUGAAAACUUGGGAAGUCUAUUUGCUGCCUAAAGAGUUCAUUGUUUAUAGCGACCAUCAAUCUUGA
rnacentral:rRNA from 1 species